AGAGCUUGCUCUUGGGUGAUCAGUGGCGAACGGGUGAGUAACACGUGAGUAACCUGCCCCUGACUCUGGAAUAACUUCGGGAAACCGAAGCUAAUACCGGAUAUGACACAGAGCCGCAUGGUUUCUGUGUGGAAAGUUUUUCGGUUGGGGACGGACUCGCGGCCUAUCAGCUUGUUGGUGAGGUAAUGGCUCACCAAGGCGACGACGGGUAGCCGGCCUGAGAGGGCGACCGGCCACACUGGGACUGAGACACGGCCCAGACUCCUACGGGAGGCAGCAGUGGGGAAUAUUGCACAAUGGGCGAAAGCCUGAUGCAGCGACGCCGCGUGAGGGAUGAAGGCCUUCGGGUUGUAAACCUCUUUCAGUAGGGAAGAAGCGCAAGUGACGGUACCUACAGAAGAAGCACCGGCUAACUACGUGCCAGCAGCCGCGGUAAUACGUAGGGUGCGAGCGUUGUCCGGAAUUAUUGGGCGUAAAGAGCUUGUAGGCGGUUUGUCGCGUCUGCCGUGAAAAUCCGGGGCUCAACUCCGGACUUGCGGUGGGUACGGGCAGACUAGAGUGUGGUAGGGGAGACUGGAAUUCCUGGUGUAGCGGUGAAAUGCGCAGAUAUCAGGAGGAACACCGAUGGCGAAGGCAGGUCUCUGGGCCACUACUGACGCUGAGAAGCGAAAGCGUGGGGAGCGAACAGGAUUAGAUACCCUGGUAGUCCACGCCGUAAACGUUGGGAACUAGGUGUGGGUCUCAUUCCACGAGAUCCGUGCCGCAGCUAACGCAUUAAGUUCCCCGCCUGGGGAGUACGGCCGCAAGGCUAAAACUCAAAGGAUUUGACGGGGGCCCGCACAAGCGGCGGAGCAUGUGGAUUAAUUUCGAUGCAACGCGAAGAACC
rnacentral:rRNA from 1 species